rnacentral:rRNA from 1 species
CCUACGGGUGGCAGCAGUGAGGAAUAUUGGUCAAUGGACGAGAGUCUGAACCAGCCAAGUAGCGUGAAGGAUGACUGCCCUCUGGGUUGUAAACUUCUUUUAUAUGGGAGUAAACUGUUCCACGAGUGGCAUUUUGUAUGUACCUUAUGCAUAAGGAUCGGCUAACUCCGUGCCAGCAGCCGCGGUAAUACGGAGGAUCCGAGCGUUAUCCGGAUUUAUUGGGUUUAAAGGGAACGUAGGGGGAGUGUUAAGUCAGUUGUGAAAGUCUGCGGCUCAACCGGAAAAGUGCAGUUGAAACUGGCAGUCUUGAGUACAGUAGAGGUGGGCGGAAUGCGAGGUGUAGCGGUGAAAUGCGUAGAUAUCACGAAGAACUCCGAUGGCGAAGGCAGCUCACUGGACUGAAACUGACACUGAGGCUCGAAAGUGUGGGUAGCAAACAGGAUUAGAUACCCGAGUAGUC